GCCUAAGGUGAGAUAGUAGAGAAAAUUUAACAGUGGAAUGGGGUGAGUGAUAAGAUCGAAUAUUGUGACAGAGAUUUCUGAGACAAUGUCCUCAAGGAGACCUCCAAGGAGAAGGUCAGUACAUGUUUUAAGAAAUGUCUGUAGCAAAGAGAAAGAACGAAAAAAGGUUUACAGGCUUCCUCUAUAUCAGAGAGGGCUCCUGUAAGAUCCUCGACGAUGUUCCAUUCAUCCUUCCCUUCUGUAAACAAAAAUAGGUGUCUUCCUUAUUCAGUUUCAAAAAGACAUCCAUCCUUUCAGUUCAUCACUCUGGCCACGGACAUUUCCACGUGAAAAUACACAUAGUGCAUCUUGCAGUCACUAGAUGCAAAGCCAUGGACAGAAAUGAGGCCAGGUGCAGACGGGGCCAAUUGAAAAGAUGAAAGAAGAAAAGAAUGACAGGCUCCAGAAGGCAACAUUGAUUGAGUGAAAGGAUGAGAAGCUGCAGUCAGUCAGGAGGUGAUUCUGACUAAGGUACAGGAAGGAUUAAAUUACUUCUGAUGGAGAGAGAAUUCAGUUUCUCAGAGAGAAGACAGGACAUCAUUCAUCACUUUUGUGAUGGCACAGUCACUCCAAUGUGCACAGAGACAUGGACAUCUAGGCAUGGGUCACCAUUCAACUGAAAGCUCUCAUGUUUUAUCUUUAACAAAAUGCCCAGGCAUGUUUCCUGAUCCAUCAGGCAAUGCAUUUCUGAUCUGGAGGGCCACCAUCAAGAUGUCACCAAAUACUGAAAAGACCCUUUGCUCCCCAUAUCACUGGGGACUUGCGCAGCCUCUCUGGACUUUGGCAGCUCUCUCCCGCAUCCCACCACGGAUCUGAUUCCCAGGCACAGACUUGGUGUCCUGUCACAGUUCACAUUUCGAACCUAAUUCUUUCCCUUAGGACAGGACAAACUUGCCCCACAGUCCUCUAUGCCUCAGGAGACUUCACAGGCCCUCCAUGUGGCUUCUGCUGUGUUAUUCAGGGACAUGCUCUCCAUGGGGAGUGCUCCAGUCUGAAGCACUUCCUACCACCAAAUG